rnacentral:rRNA from 1 species
CAGCCGCCGCGGUAAUUCGUAGGGUGCAAGCGUUAAUCGGAAUUACUGGGCGUAAAGCGUGCGCAGGCGGUGAUGUAAGACAGUUGUGAAAUCCCCGGGCUCAACCUGGAACUGCAUCUGUGACUGCAUCGCUGGAGUGCGGCAGAGGGGGAUGGAAUUCCGCGUGUAGCAGUGAAAUGCGUAGAUAUGCGGAGGAACACCGAUGGCGAAGGCAAUCCCCUGGGCCUGCACUGACGCUCAUGCACGAAAGCGUGGGGAGCAAACAGGAUUAGAUUCCCUGGUAGUCCACGCCCUAAACGAUGUCAACUGGUUGUUGGGUCUUCACUGACUCAGUAACGAAGCUAACGCGUGAAGUUGACCGCCUGGGGAGUACGGCCGCAAGGUUGAAACUCAAAUGAAUUGACGG